rnacentral:misc_RNA from 1 species
CCUUGGCUGUGUGCUCAACCAGCUCCCCUUGACUAUAUUUUGGAAUGUCUUAUCCUUCAACCAGCAGUCUAGAACCCUGAACGGUUUGUGUCCCCAAUCAACAUUUUUUGCUCUGAGUAGGAUAGGGCAAUGAUCCGAGAAAUUUCUAUCCAAGAUGUACUGUGUACUUCCUGGCCAUUUUGACACCCAAUCGUCAGAAACAAGGAACCUGUCCAGCUUACUUUUUGCAGUCCCAUUUGGUCAGGUCCAUGUGAAUUUUCUGCCAACACCUGGCACUUCUUCAACUUCUAAUUUUGAUAUCCACUCGUUGAACUCUGAAAUACUGUGAUGAUCCCCCUCUCUUUGUGACAUGGUCAGCCUCUCAG